GCGGGUGUAGUUCAGCCCGGUUAGAACGCCGCUCUGUCACAGCGGAGGUCGCCGGUUCAAAUCCGGUCGCCCGCG
rnacentral:tRNA from 1 species